rnacentral:tRNA from 1 species
GGAGAGGUUCCCGAGCGGCCAAAGGGGACGGGCUGUAAACCCGUUGACUCAGUCUUCGGAGGUUCGAAUCCUCCCCUCUCCA